GACAACACGAGGGUAAGUGAUGACAGAUUUUCACAUUUCUUUAUUUAGUUAACUAUUAAAUAAGUAAAACAUUACAUUACAUUUAACCCAGCUUCUUUAUGUAACGUUAUGUCUGUGUUGCGUGUGGUAAUUGGAACAUCUUUAUUUUCUGACUAACGUUAGGCAUUUCUCUUAAGCAUUUCAGAAAUCAUUAAAACCUUUCAUUUUUUUUUAGCACAGCGACAUAAAUAUGACCAACCAGAUCCCAAGUAGACAGGAACAAAUGAAGAUAUAGCGCAUAGAAAGACUUAUUCUUGGUGAUCAACUGCUAUUGACAUUUUUGAAUCGGGGCAAAUGUGGAGUGAAGAAAAACGUUUGCAACACAUCCAUUCCAGAGUGCUCUGACAGAUACAACUGACACGCUUGAUGAGGACACAGUCAAGCUUUAAAAGCCCGUGUGAUAAAGCAGUCUUCAAUUACUACGGUGUCUGAAUUGCAAGAAGAAGUCACCCUCCACUUAAACAUGUGACAUCUAAACUGUUUUGUGUUUUAGUUUAGGUUUAUCUUAAGUUGGUUAAAGGCAGAGUGCACUAUUUUUGAAAGCCAAUGUUAACAUUUGAAAUUACCUAAACAAACAUGCCUCUACCCCAAUAGAAUCUGGACCUUCUUUUGAUUGAGCCACCACACACAUACGCAACCCCGGCAAGGAUGUCAGUUAGUAGACACGCCCCUUACUGCUGGUUGGCUACAAGUGUGUUUUGGUAGUCGGCCCAAUUUCCUUUUCCAAAGCGUUUUUCAAACAUUGUGCACUCCGUCUUUAAAUUGCACUUAAACAUUUUUUUUCAUUAACUUUUUAUGCAGAGAAUUACAUUAUGAUUAUUAUAUAAUCAUUGCUUAUGAAUAUUUAGUGAU